rnacentral:lncRNA from 1 species
UCUAAGACACUCAAAUAACCGCUGGAUAAUAAACGAAGCAUGCUUUUACCCAGAGAUUAGUAGCUCAACUGAAAACCUUGUUCAUCUACCAAAUUCGAAACAACAAAUCUCAGAAUCCAUUUCGGUUCCUCGCAAAUGCUUUAAAGAAAUUUGUUGCUGCUCAUAAGAAAAUGAAUUAGUUCAAGAGCUCCGGUUAUUAGGACUUUCGUUAGCGAUUACGGUGACGACUCAGAAACUCUCCAUCUGCAAUGGAGCCGCGUACCAGGUAACUCUAACUUUCUUCUUAAAUGUAUGUUUUUUCUCCACUGGUGAUGACAUUGGCUGUAACUGAAGAUGGAUUUUGUGAAAUGUUGGUAAUGGUUUAUGAUGACGAUGGUUUGUUAAGGUACUUAAUUUGUUUAAAUUUUUCAUAAAUUUGAACUAAUGCAUAGUGCAGAUUGUGGGACAGCAGCUUUAUAUAUAUUUCAUUCAAGGAAGACUUAAUUAUGAGGCUAUAGAUGAAGUAAUAAUAUGGAUCUGGCAUGCCUCUGGUGGAAGAUGAAGAGUUGGAUUCCUGCAGUUUUGUUUGGGGUUAUUUGUCUAAUUUUUGGGAGGUUUUGCUGAAGUAAUUGUGUGGGUUUGCUUGCAGGGUGCAUUUCAUGUUUUGUUUUAACACUGAAUUGUAUUGCAUUAAAAUAUUAAUUUUAUGUAAAUUCGUAUUAAAAAAGUGGUUAUAUAAUGAAAGGAGUAUAAAAUAAACUUUUGAGAAAUAAGAUUUAGGUUGUAUUGCAUUAAAAUACCG